AUGAAAGAUUAACUUCUGCGAAAGCAUCUGCCAAGGAUGUUUUCAUUAAUCAAGAACGAAAGUUAGGGGAUCGAAGACGAUCAGAUACCGUCGUAGUCUUAACCAUAAACGAUGCCGACCAGCGAUUAGGAGACGUUGAAUACAAAACACCAUCCAUUUAGCACGGUCGUUUUCAAAUAUUCCUUUUUGCGAAGGUUGUUUGGGAACGAUUCGUCCUGAUGGAUCUGGUGAAUGACUCCCCUAGCAGCUUGUGAGAAA
rnacentral:rRNA from 1 species